AAGAAUGAAGUCUUGCCAUUCUCAACUAUGUGGAUGGAACUGGAGGGUAUUACGCUAAGUGAAAUCAGUCAGUCAGAGAAAGACAAAAAAUCAUAUGACUUCACUCAUACGAGUACUUUAAGAGACAAAACAGAUCAACAUAAGGGAAGGGAAACAAAAAUGAUAUAAAAACAGGGAGGGGGACAAAACAGAAGAGAAUAAUAAAUAUGGAGAACAAACUGAGGGUUUCUGGAGGGGUUGUGAGAGGGGGGAUGGGCUAAAUGGGUAAGGGGCACUAAGGAAUCUACUCCUGAAAUCAUUGUUCCACUAUAUGCUAACUAAUUUGGAUGUAAAUCUUAAAAAAUGAAAAAUAAAAUUAAAGAAAAAAAAGGAGACAGAUGAAGAAAACUGGCCAGGGUUACCUGGACAAUCUGGGGGAGUAGACCACAGAUCUUGGACUUUCACCAUCUUACCAUUUUUCCAUUUUUUCUGUGCCUCUUAAGAUGGAUGUAGGAGAUGGGGAAGAGGAAAUGAUCAAUGGUUCUGUUCAGACAUUUGAAAAAUUGAAGAAAACAAAAUCACCAGCUAACGUCUAAGAGACUAGUGCAGGCAAUAACUCAUUAUGACUGAAUGAGAUUGCUUAUUGCUGAAGUAAACAAAUUUUCAUAUUUAAAUGGUCUAACACAAUGGAAGUUUAGUACCUACUCAUACCAGUCCCAUGAGAGAGUUCCUUGUUGUGGAUGAUGUUUAGGAAACCAGGUUCCUUGUAUCACGUGGGGUAGUCAUCUCUCAGGAUCUUUGAGAGCUCUUUAGGACUCAAAACUCACCUGCUUCCUAAACUCUCCAAGCUCCAUUCCAUUGGUGAGGAUGUCCUGAGGCCACACCUGGAUGUGUGCAAGGUGUGAGCUGGGAGGAGCUUGGGAGAUGUUGCCAAUGACAGGGCAGCCCUCUCCUCAUGAUGACGCCAUGCAAUGGAAAGGGAGCCUGCAUUUUUAGUAGACAACUGGUCACUUCUGCCCAACUAAUAAACAUCAUCCUGAGAAAGCAGAAUGUGACAAGAUUUCAAACAGAAAAGCUUCUAAUUAAUGACUAUGCUUUAGAGUUUUCAACCUUUCACUUAGAGACUCAUACAAAGAAUCAGUUAAUUAUUGUAGAACCCUGCCAUGUAGAAAAAGAUAUCCUUGAUCUCUGAUCCAAUAUUUUCCCAGUAUAGAAGCUAAAGGAAAUGCUACUUUUAUUAAAGUUUUUGUUUGCUUUGUUUUGUUUCUUACCUGGAUUCUGGAAAGCAACUAAGACCAAAGAAUAAUGAAGUAAAGAUGAACAUAAUUGCAGUGCCCCAAAUGUUCUUCAGGUCAUUUAGAACAAUGAGAUUCAAGAAUAAUUAGCUUCAGUUCUGAUAAUAAUUUUAAUUUUUUAUUCCUGAGUUUUAUACAUAUAAAAUGACAAUACUAAUCACUACUUAAACGUUUUCUAAUGUCUUAAUCUUGUGAUUUCAGUAUAACAGAAACUGACAGAGAAGAAGGCUUUGAUAAAUUAGAUUUUAUAGAGGAAAGAGAUUGAGAAUGGGAAUGCCAUAAGAAAAUGAAUUAACAUCUAGUCAGAAGAAACAUCAGAGUAUACGCCUGCAAGUCUCCAGUAAUGGUGCUCACCAGAAAGACAUGGAGAAGUUUUUCCAAAUACACUCUCCUGGCCCCAGCCCCUGGAAAAUCUGAUCAAGUAGAUCUGGGGCAAAAACUAGGAAUCUGCCUUUUUGCCUAACAUAUCAAGUGAGUCUGUUGACCUCCUUAAGUAACGGUGGUCUAGGGGUAACAAAGGAGAAGGGAGAAUUAUUUGCUAAAGAUAGGAAAGUCAGUAGAAUAUUUUCAAUAGAGGAAAAGAAGCAGUGUGUAAUGAUAAAGAAAAUAAAGUCUGAAAGAAAUAGGUGGGGGAUGGUGGUCUAAGGCCAAAACCCUAGAAGACAUGCAAAAGGAGAAUAUCUAAAGUACAGGUGAAAGAGGUAGCAUUUGGAAGGGAUGGUAGAUGCCCCCUUAAAGGUACAAACAGGGAAUUCCCGGACAAAGUUUCCAUCACAGUUUUGAGGCAAAAAAAAUAGUGUCUGGUAAAUGGCCUUGAUCUUUUGAAGAGAGUCAGUGACAAUCUACCAAGAAGAAUGAUGGCUCAGUUGGAGUCUGGAGCUUAAGAACUGUGGAGAGAUCUGGAACAGCCACUGCGAAGACUGCCCUAAGGAGCCACGUAAGCCAAUAUGAGUAAAAGAACAGUCGUCUGAAUGUGUCAUGUUGUUGAAAACGAUUCUCCUUUUUUCAUUUACGUCAACUACCUGAGUUUCACAAGCAUUCAAUCUGUCUCUCCGGUACUACUCAGGAUUUAUUUAGCAGUUCUUGAGAGGCUCAUUGUUCCAUUGUGCUCUUGCUUCGGUCGCCUGCUCAAAGCAUUUUAUCAAUUCAUCAAAGGGAGUGAAAUAAGCCAUAAAGCAUCCCGUGUAGCCAUGGAGCUUUCUUAGAACAAAAACAUGGGUGAAUUCUUCCUGUGGGAAAUGACCUGUGAAAAUUCUUCACAAAGUAAGGAAGCUGUAAUUUUCAUCACACCUCGGAAUUCACAAAAAGGACAUCAUCAAUCAAUAGUUCUCUCUGGUAAACUGUUGUUGAAAUAUGCUGUGGGAAACUAUUUAUUCCAUGUCACAUUAUGAGCAGAAAGAUUAUUGGAAAAGUGGUGCAUUUAGCUUCCAGAAUUAUAGGACCCUCCAAAAUCUUAGAAUAAAUCCCAAAUUCAUAACACAGUCUAUCAGGUCCUUCAGGCUAUAUUUGCCCUCGUAUCUUCCCAGGCAAGUCAUGCCUUCCAAUAAUGCUGUCACAUCAUCACCACUGUCACUGCCAUGGCCAGAUAUAGGACACCACAUACACACAUACCUCUUUAACAAAAACACAUCAAAAAUCCCACCCACUUUACCUGUUUUCGGGCUUGAGGUAAAAGUAAUCCUUUUAACAUUUUGGAAGUAGCCAAUCCUAAGGAUACCUCUUUCCCUUUAGGGAACUUCUUUUGAAGGAUUGGAGACCCUCCGUGGUCAGGAAUUGACUUUGACUUUUCUAAUUCCUAAAGGAAAUCAGCUGCUGUAAUCCUAUUGACAAUGUUGCAUGUGUAAACUACUCUUUGUAUCCUCUGCAUUCUCUUGCUGGCCUACAUUGUCCAAUAGGUUCUUAGCCUACAAUGAAAGUAGGAAGGAUUUUAUUUUUAUUUAUUUUUAUUUUUUAUUUGAGAGAGAGCCAGAGAGAGCUGGGGGGGGGGGGGAGAGAAGGAGAGAGAGAGAGAGAGAGAGAGAGAGAGAGAGAGAGAGAGAGAGAAUCCCAAGCAGGCUCCACACUCAGCACAGUGCCUCAUGUGGGGCUCAAUCCCACGACCCUGGAUAAUGACCUGAGCACAAACCAAGAGUCAGACCCUUAACUGACUGAGCCACCCAAGUGCCCCAUAAAGUAGGAAGGAUUUUACAGCUCGUUUGGUAGAAAGCAUACCUUUUGCUACAGAAUCCAAACCUAGAACAAAUCAUGCAUUUGCCCACCAUUCUAACACUUCCUGGGAAACAUUCCAAAUAAAUACCUCUUGGGGGAACAGUAGCUUGGACAACUCUGACCAUUUCAUGCAUUGUAUCCAGGCCUGGUUACAUAAUUUGCCAGGCCUAGUGCAAAAAGAAAAUGAAAGACCCUUCCCCCCCCACCCUUAAAAAAGUAGGAACAAAGUACAAUUAAAAGAACAAAAAUAUAAAGUUUUUCCUCAAAAAAAGUUAAUAUUUAUAGACACAAUAAGGGUAAUAGUGAUAUAUGAGUACCAGCACGAACUUAUGAAUUGCAAAAAAAAAUCAUUUUGGUGUCAUAAUUUUAUAUAAUAAAAUAAAAUAAUAAUAUUUUAUAUCUUGAUCUUAAAGGCUUUCUGGCUUGGACAUUGCCAGAAAUUUAUUAGGUCAUUAAAUUUUUACUUUGAGUAACUUCAUUUUCAUUGAUAUAAUGGGAAAUGAUUGCCGUUACUCUUGGCAAAUGGAAUGUCACCAAUGAUUUGAUAAUGUUUCAUUUUGAGAAAGAUCUUUCUGCUGAUGCCACAGCUACUAGAGCUGUUAAGAAUGAUUCACAGACUGGGACAACUUAGGGAUAAAUUUCUGAUACAUUAUUCCAAAUAUGGAUUUUAGUACAUCUAGAGCUAAUGAUCCUUGUAGAGCAGUUUUCCAACAAGAUUUAAUUCUUCACACAAGUCGGUUUCGCAUAAGCCUGAAUGUCAUUGUAAAUGUAAAUUUAUACAAUGGCAUUUUAAUGUUUCAUGUGACAUUUCUUGUAACUCGUGGGGUUUGUACAAGAAACCGAAAGUGGCUUCAUGAUUGUAUACAGUUCACAGUACCUCUUUAUGCAUUCUAUCGCUGUUUCCUCAAUUGCAAAGAUUUUUUUGACAUCUUCCUCCUAAUAACUGCUUCAUCGGAAGUUUUCUCUGAAAAGUGCUGUUUUCCAACAACUGUGAUGAUCUCUAAACUUAGUUUCUAUUUCGAGGUCUGUGGCACGGCAUUGGCUUCGCAACAUGGCAGAAGUGUUCAAAACCAUCGAACCUAAAAUCUGAUAGGCUUUAUUGGGCGAUCCGUGUGCAUGCUUUUCGCGGUAUUUAGUGAACAGUUCAUUGCUGGACCACCAGCAGAACCGGUCUCAGCCUUCAGGCCUGAAAGUUAAUGUCUAUGCAGACGCCACAGGAAGGACACUGGGCAGGAGAAUGAGAGUUGAGCCAUCCACGAGGGUCCACCUACUGCCCCCAGGCACAGCCCUGCUCUCUCCCUUGGAGCUGCGGUCACCGCUGCUGCUUCCGACGCGGAUGCACUGAAGGACGCCAUCAGUGUGAACCCAAGUCCCAGCCCUAGCUGCCCCUUUGGGGCCCCACGGUGCCCGGGGCUAUCCCAGUGUGUGCGCAAGACGGGGAGCCGGAUCAGGUCCCCGCGCGCACACACUGGCCUUCCUGUGCUCUCGCCGCUGGUCAGUUAAGCACACUCGGCGCGUGCUGCCCAUGCUCCAGUGUGCCUUCGUAUUUCACCCGCAAAAUCCAAGGGUGAAGACAGAAAGCACUUAUGAAAAAUUUCAAGAUGGUGCUAGCACAGCAAUAAACCGGACGCAAGGCUCCUGCUGAGAGCUGGGCCCUGCGGGGAUGCACAGGACCCACACCCCUGAAGCCGGCCCUGCUGGUAUCAUAUGAGUUAUACGUACAUCGCUUGUGCCUCAGUCCAUCAGCAAUCCCCAAACCAUGUUCCGCAGGAAAGGUGUUCCGUGAAAAAGGGGCAAUUGGAAAUGCUAUAUGCUGUGUCUCAGCCCUGGGGACUCAGAGUGCACAUAAGCAAAUUACAGGCUCUGGAAAUCUUGAGUUAAAGACGCAUAAUUUCAUUUAUUCCAUCCUUUCUGAAACUUAAUCUGGCACCAGAAUCCCAUUUACAUAAAACACCUUUGAAUAUCUUGGGAAACAUUAAUAGUCCAUAGAAUAAAAUUUUAAAGAUACUGUGUAGGGCUGUAGUCCAGACUCCAUUCAAAAAUCCCUAAAGACUUUGUUUUUAUGCUCUAACUCAAAAUAGGCAUUCUAUUUCAGUUACUAUCUUUCAUAAGGACAAAGAGAAGUCUAUUGAGGCUUAACAAAACAUAUAAAAGAAUUAAAAAUAUAUUUUGUUUGGCAAUAAUAAAGUUUUAAUUAUUUUUAAAUAAUGCUUUAUUCUAAAAGUCAUAAUAUAGCAGAUCUUCUCCUCUAAUUAAAAGUUAUAUGAUACCAGGUUAUUCUUCUUUAGAGAGGGAGUUAUUUCUAAUCUCAUACAAGUGAUCUUUGCAAAACACACUUAUACAAAACAACUAAAAAUGCAUUGAUAAGUGGCAGGUCCAUUGAACCUAUUCCUGAUGUCAAAAAAAAAAAAAAAAAAAAACCAUUCAAGCUCACAAUUUCAUUGGAGAAUUUUAAAAAUGUCAAUCAGGUUGUGUCUUGUCUUUACUUAAAAUCUUCAAUGGCUUCAUAUUUCUUCUAGGAAAUAGUCCAAACUUCUCAAGAUGGGCUGCAAGGCCCUGCGUAUUUUCUUUAUUUUAAUAAAUUUACUUAUUUAUUUUGAGAGAGAGAACAGAUGAGGGGCAGAGAGAGAAUCUCAAGCAGACUCCACGCCAUCAGCACAGAGCCCGAAGUGGGGCUCCGUCUCACAAUUUGUGAGAUUAUGACCUGAACUGAAUUCAAGAGUCAGACAUUUAACCGAUUGAGCCACACAGGCACCCGAAGGCUCUGCAUAUUUUAAAAACACCUUCUUCCCUGCUUCAUUUUGUACCAGCGCCCUCCUCAUUUACCAUGUAUCAUCCAUACUUGCUUUCAUUCAUUCAUCCCACAAGUAGAAAAAUAUGAGGAAGAGAUAAGAACCUCGUCUUCAAUAGAACAAAUGAAUAGGGAUCUAUGAUACAAUGUCAAGUAGAUGUAAGUGCUAUAAAGAAAAUAAAACAGGCAAGGGGUUACAGUGGUGGGGGCGGGCACUGUUUUAGUUAAGGUGCUCGGGACUGGCCUCUCUGAAGAGGGGUCUUUUGAACAGACACCUAAGUGAAGGAACAAGCUGUGUGCAGACUCAGGAGAAGAGCACGAAGGGAAGAACUUGGGGUGCGAACUGCAACUUGUGAGGAACAAGAUGACAGUUGGGGACAGAUGAAGGAAGGGGAGAGUGGCACAAGGUAGGUGGGGGGCGGGGGUGGAGGCCAGAUUGGGUAGGACAGUGUGAGGUGGUUGGAAUUCAGAUGUCACAGGACGCCCUUGCAGGGGCUUGAGCAGCGGAGUCCCAGGAUCUGACCAACCGUGGAAAGCCCCACUGGGUCUCUGGCUGGCAGAGUAGACUGAGGGAGUGCAAAGGGAGAGCAGAGAGAGAGUUGGAGAGCUCUUGCAUUGGCCUGAGUGAAAGGUGGUAGUGAUUCUUCUGUGGGAGAACUAUUGAAAAACAGCUAUAUUCCGGGCUAUUUUAAAUGCACAUCCAACAGGAUCUACUAAGGGAAUGAAUGUGGAUGGAAGAGCAAAAGAAGAGCCAAUUGUCCAGGGCCUUAUAGUCUGAGCAAGAAAGAAAAUGGCA